GACGAACGCUGGCGGCGUGCCUAAUACAUGCCAGUUGAGCGAUGAAGAUUGGUGCUUGCACCAAUUUGAAGAGCAGCGAACGGGUGAGUAACGCGUGGGGAAUCUGCCUUUGAGCGGGGGACAACAUUUGGAAACGAAUGCUAAUACCGCAUAAUAACUUUAAACAUAAGUUUUAAGUUUGAAAGAUGCAAUUGCAUCACUCAAAGAUGAUCCCGCGUUGUAUUAGCUAGUUGGUGAGGUAAAGGCUCACCAAGGCGAUGAUACAUAGCCGACCUGAGAGGGUGAUCGGCCACAUUGGGACUGAGACACGGCCCAAACUCCUACGGGAGGCAGCAGUAGGGAAUCUUCGGCAAUGGACGAAAGUCUGACCGAGCAACGCCGCGUGAGUGAAGAAGGUUUUCGGAUCGUAAAACUCUGUUGGUAGAGAAGAACGUUGGUGAGAGUGGAAAGCUCAUCAAGUGACGGUAACUACCCAGAAAGGGACGGCUAUCUACGUG
rnacentral:rRNA from 1 species